AGACAGCAGUAGCCGCGGGAAUACGGAGGGUGCAAGCGUUAUCCGGAUUUAUUGGGUUUAAAGGGUCCGUAGGCGGAUCUGUAAGUCAGUGGUGAAAUCUCACAGCUUAACUGUGAAACUGCCAUUGAUACUGCAGGUCUUGAGUAAAUUUGAAGUGGCUGGAAUAAGUAGUGUAGCGGUGAAAUGCAUAGAUAUUACUUAGAACACCAAUUGCGAAGGCAGGUCACUAAGAUUUAACUGACGCUGAUGGACGAAAGCGUGGGGAGCGAACAGGAUUAGAGACCCCGGUAGUCCCUGUCUCUUAUAC
rnacentral:rRNA from 1 species